rnacentral:lncRNA from 1 species
AAAUUUUGCUUCAUUUAUGUGUACAUGGGAAUGUGAACUGAAUCACAAUAUAAAUUUACUUCUUAACUGUAGAGGUUAAAUGAUUAGAGAAAUAUUAGUCUAAGGAAUCAAAUGUUACUUUUAGGGUUAAAUGCUUAAAAUAUUUGUACACGGACAUGGAAUUGUAAUUUAAUAUUCGGCUGAAGCAUGGCAAGACUCACACAGAUAAACCAGAGCAAUAAGUAUUACGGACCUAAUACUCCUUCUGUUUUUUUGGUAGCACCCGAGGCAUAUGCAAGUUCCUGGGUCAGAAUCUGAGCCACAGCUGCAACACAGCGGGACUCCCCCCCCCGCCCCAGACCUAAUAGUCUUGAAGAAAUAGACUACAUUCUAUUUCAUAUACAGACAUCAACAUCUUUUGCCUUGAAACUUGGAGCACUUUCCUCUAAGUCCCAUUCCUUUUUUUAAAAAAGCUUCAUAACCUGAUUAUUGACUUUGAAGUUAGACCUGCAUUCAGAUCCCCAAUACACCAAUUCCUUAUGUGCAUCACUGUAAUUUUAAUUUGCAUUUCCCUAAUCACUAAUGAGGCUGAGCAUCUUUAAUAUGCCUUUUUUGCCAUCAGUAUUGCUUCUUUGGUAAAGUCUGUCCAAACCUUUUCAAAUUUUAUUCAAUUUAUUUAUCUUCUUGCUACUGAAUUGUAAGAGAUUUUUACAAUAUAGUCUGGAUACAAGCCCUUCAUCAAACAUAUACAAUUAUGGGAGUUCCCAUCAUGGCUCAGCAGUUAACAAACCCGACCAGAAUCCAUGAGGUUGAGGGUUCAAUCCCUGGCCUUGCUCAGAGGGUUAAGGAUCCAGCAUUGCCGUGAGCUGUGGGUAGGUUGCAGAUGUGUCUCAGAUCCUGCGUUGCUGUGGCUGUGGUGUAAGCUGGCAGAUACAGCUCUGAUUCGACCCCUAGCCUGGGAACCUCCAUAUGCUACAGAUGUGGCCCUAAAAAGAUGAUUUUCAGAGUCGGUGGCUUGCAUUUUCUUAAUGGUGUCUUUUGAGAAACAAAACAAUUUUAAUUUUGAUGGAGUCUAACAUCAAUCUUGCGUUUUAUAAUUCUUGCUUUUUAUGACUUUCCUCUAUGAAAGCUGGUCUUACCCAAAACCACAAAGGUAUUCCUCUGAGUUUUCUACUUUUAUAGCUUUCGCUCUAUUUUUAGGUCUUUUCAUAUUAGUUUGCUAGGACUGCUGCAACAAAAUACCACAAACCGAGUGACUUAAAAAAACAGAAGUGUACUGCCUUACAGGUCUACGUGCUCGAAGUCCAAGAUCAAGGUGUCAGCAGAGUUGGUUCCUUCUGAGGGCGGUGAGAGAGAAGCUGUCCACGCCUCCUCCCUAGCUUCUAGUGAUAUGCUGGUGAUCUUUAGCGUUCCUUAGCUUGUUCAGCAUCACCCUGGUGUCUGCCUUCGUGUUCUCAUGGCAAUCUCCCUCUGUGACUGUGUCCCCACUUCCCCUUUUUGUAUUAGCACCCGGGAUAAUGGAUUAGGGCCGCCCUCCUCCACUGUGAUUUCGUAUUAACAAAGUACCUCUGCAAUGACCCUAUUUCCAAAUAAGGUUGCCUUCUGAGAUAUCGGGGGUAGGACUUCGGCAGGACUUUAUGGGGAGGGGGAGAGCGCAACACAGUGCAAUUCAAAAUACCUUUCAAGUGAGUGUUUGUGCAUGUCCUGACCUAAGGGUCAAGGUUCAUUUUUCUGCAUAUUAGAUGUCAAACUGUUCUAGCAUCAUUGGUUGAAGAGAUUAUCCUUUCCUCACUGAUUUAUUGUGGUACCUUCAACAAAAUAACUGACCACAUGGUCUAUUUCUACCUCGUGAUUCUCUGUUCUGUUCCAGUGACCUAUGUCUGCCCUUAACCUAAUACCACACUUGAUUAGUUUUAUAAAAAAAAAAAGUCUGGAUCCUUAACCAAGUUGUAUUCUCCAUGGGUUAGUAAUUCUAUUGAUCUUUUCAAAGAGUCAGCUUUUAGUUUUAUGGACAUUUCUCUAUUGCUUUUCCAUUUUCUACUUCUUCCUCAAGCUGGUGUUCAGUGGUCUGGAGACCGGGUUGGGUGGGUCCUCCUUCCUAUGUCACUAAUUUUAAAUCCUUCUCCGUUUCUAAUAUAUGCUAAUCUCUCUUUUUUUUUUUUUUUUUUUUUUUUUUUUUUCUCCUGCUAUUUCUUUAAUGCACUGACCUUUUCCUAGGUAAUGUCUAAUCUGCUAUUUAAUACCUUCUGCUUUCUUUCUCAAUUCUAUUUUAAAUUCCCUUCUCUCGCAGCAACGAUUCACUGCUUUCGAUGUACAAUGUGACGUGCUAAGUCCUAAUCAUGCGCCAGGCCCCAUAGGAGGCAGGCCUCGGAGCACUGCGCUGAAGACCCGGCUUAUCAGGUUGCUGAUAACGAAGGAAUAAAUGGUGGCAAUAAAAAUGUACUGCCUUUAUAUCUGCAGAGCACAUUAUAGCUCACAAAGCGCUUCCGUAUACAGCCUGUCAUUUGAGUCCUCCACAACCCCCCUGUAAGGAAGAAAGGCCAAGCCUAGUUAUCCCCAAAAGACAAGGAGUGACUUACUUUAGGUAACACAGCUAACCCAUGGUACACUUUAGCCUGUGUCCUCCAGGCCCAAUGUUCUC